rnacentral:rRNA from 1 species
GAUGAACGCUAGCGAUAGGCCUAACACAUGCAAGUCGAGGGGCAUCACAGAGUAGCAAUACUUUGGUGGCGACCGGCGCACGGGUAAGUAACGCGUAUGCAAUCUACCUACAACAGGGGGAUAACCCGGAGAAAUCCGGACUAAUACCGCAUAACACAGGGGUCCCGCAUGGGAAUAUUUGUUAAAGAUUUAUCGGUUGUAGAUGAGCAUGCGUUCCAUUAGGUAGUUGGUGAGGUAACGGCCCACCAAGCCUGCGAUGGAUAGGGGAACUGAGAGGUUUGUCCCCCACACUGGAACUGAGACACGGACCAGACUCCUACGGGAGGCAGCAGUGAGGAAUAUUGGUCAAUGGGCGAGAGCCUGAACCAGCCAAAUCGCGUGAAGGAAGACUGCCUUAUGGGUUGUAAACUUCUUUUGUACAGGAAUAAAAAGAGGGACGUGUCCUUCAUUGCAUGUACUGUACGAAUAAGCAUCGGCUAACUCCGUGCCAGCCGCCGCGGUAA